GUUUUGGUUUGAUUUGGGCUGGUUUAGGCCACUUUGGGUUAGGAGGGUUUGGGCUGGCUUAGGCCACUUUGGGUUAGGAGGGUUUGGGCUGGCUUAGGCCACUUUGGGUUAGGAGGGUUUGGGCUGAUUUAGGCCACUUUGGUCUGGAUUAGGAGGGUUUGGGUUGAGGGUGUUUGAGGGAUGGGGAGGGUAGGACUGGUGUUGGCCAGAUAAGGGCUGAGGAAUGAGUUAGUAGUGGUGUAUUACAGGGAUGGGUAGGGUCAGAGGUCAGAGUCUUAGUAAUGGUGUAUUACAGGGAUGGGUAGGGUCAGGGGUCAGAGUUAGUGUUGUUGACCACAUGCAGUUCCUUGAUGUGGGAUUUAAGCUGUGUCCACUACCUGUUAGAUAGAUGGGUGUUGGAGGUAGCUUACAUGUUCUCUCAGGACUACCUGUCGUGAUGUUCCUGGAGAUGGGACUUAAGCUGUGUCCACUACCUGUUAGAUAGAUGGGUGUUGGAGGUAGCUUACAUGUUCUCUCAGGACUACCUGUCGUGAUGUUCCUGGAGAUGGGACUUAACCUGUGUCCACUACCUGUUAGAUAGAUGUGAUUUAAAAUGCGUCCACUACCUGUUAGAUAGAUGGAAUUUCAAAUUAGAACAUAACAGAAUAUUCGACAAUAUCAGUUGACAGAACAGUUACGGUCUGCUAAUUUAGCUCCACUCACCUGGAGAACAGUUACGGUCUGCUAAUUUAGCUCCACUCACCUGGAGAACAGUUACGGUCUGCUAAUUUAGCUCCACUCACCUGGAGAACAGUUACAGUCUGCUAAUUUAGCUCCACUCACCUGGAGAACAGUUACGGUCUGCUAAUUUAGUUCUACUCGCCAGGAGAACAGUUACGGUCUGCUAAUUUAGCUCUACUCACCUGGAGAACAGUUACGGUCUGCUAAUUUAGCUCCACUCACCAGUCCAUCUAUACCGGGCCUGUCAUCAUACAGUCCAUCUAUACCAAGCCUGUCCAUUCACAGUGCCUCCCAUGCUAGACGUGUUACUGUCUGAAUAGAGAAUGACCCAGUCCUCUGCUAGAUGUGUUACUGUCUGAAUAGAGAAUGAUCCCUAGCCAGUAAGUUAGUUUCUUCAGGGUCCAGGCCUGUUCCAGUCAGAUACACACCCAGUCAAUCAGUCUAGAAAGGAAGACAGACUACAUCACAAUCCUCCUGACCCAUGUUACUAUUCAUUCUCUUAGCUUACAAUCCCUCCCUCUCCUUAACUUUAUCAAGUGCAAUUGUACUCUGUUUUUAUAUGUAUUCUAACUACCUUCACAGAACUAUUUUAAGGACUAGCUAAUUAAAUAAGGACCGCGUUCUCAGUCUCAACAUUGGAGUGAGUUGAGAUUUGCUUAACGCUUAGUACCAUGCUGACCUAAUCCACAGCACUGGAGACUAACGCUCUGUGUCUGUCUCAGUAUGACUGGAGUCUCUUCUGACAAGUCCUCUUGUCUGCUUAGAGCAAAAAUGGUUUUCAUUCGCAAUACCACAGAGACCUGUCUUAGUUGAGUCAGAGACACAGAGCCAUAACUGAGGGUGAUUGAUAUCCUACAGAAUAAGACUGAAGAUGCCAUAACUACAGGUCUUAAUGGGCGGUGUUUGGAAACAGACACUGAUUGGUCUACGGUGUAGCUAUCAGUCCUUAAAGGGUUCUAGGGGGUUAUUAUUGAAGAUGUUUGUGAUAUUAACUUAGUAGCACAUAAGAUGCCACACUAUCUGCAUGUGUUAGGAUGUCCUUUUAAUAUAUAUAUCUAUGAUAUAUUCUGAUACUAUUGCCUUUCACCAAACUGGUAUAACCAAGAGAAAAUUAUCACAUUUAUUUUACAAAACUGGUGAGAAUUGAAGUACCUCAGACACCACUAGAGUAUUUUUGUAAUGCUGUGAAUUGAACAGAGAAAAAGCUAAGAGUCAAUCUUUUUCUCACACAAUUGAAUAAAUAAGCAAAACAGAGAAAUGUUGUGAGACGUGAUGUUUCUCUGGUCCAGCAGUGCCUUGGCCCGUUACUAUACGGCUAAGAAAUAAUCCUGUUCAGAGCUCCAGCCCCCUCUAGUCUACAUUCUACUGCUACUGUACAUGACGGGGCUGGAGGCUGAGGAACCGUCCUGAAACGGUAUUUGGUGAAAGGAACCGUCCUGAAACAGCCUGGGUCUAUUUGGACCAUCAUGCCACUCCUUGCCGGUUUGGCAUGACAAGGAGUUGAGAUGAUGACAAACAGAUCUGGGACCAGCUAUCUUAAACAGUGUUGGUGAAAGGACUGAAUCAAUGGAAUUGUUCUUUAAGCAAUGUGUUACUCAGCCAAAGGGGGCAGUAAGCCCCAGGGGAAGGGGAGGUCACUCGAGGGCUCACACCGUUUCAACUAGUAAAUACAUGAUACAAAGCCACAAUGAUUCUGAAUGGAAACCGGGGUCCUCGUGGUUCUGGUUUCAAAGCUGUUGUCAAAAAUGAGGAUGAUGAGUUAGUGGUUAAAGUAGAGCAGCCUACCCUGUCCUAAUGGUUAACUUAGUGGUUAAAGUAGAGUAGCCUACCCUGUCCUAGUGGUUAACUUAGUGGUUAAAGUAGAGCAGCCUACCCUGUCCUAGUGGUUAAAGUAGAGCAGCUUCCCUGUACUAGUGGUUAACUUAGUGGUUAAAGUAGAGCAGCCUACCCUGUCCUAAUGGUUAACUUAGUGGUUAAAGUAGAGUAGCCUACCCUGUCCUAGUGGUUAACUUAGUGGUUAAAGUAGAGCAGCCUACCCUGUCCUAGUGGUUAAAGUAGAGCAGCUUCCCUGUACUAGUGGUUAACUUAGUGGUUAAAGUAGAGCAGCCUACCCUGUCCUAGUGGUUAACUUAGUGGUUAAAGUAGAGCAGCCUACCCUGUCCUAAUGGUUAACUUAGUGGUUAAAGUAGAGCAGCCUACCCUGUCCUAAUGGUUAACUUAGUGGUUAAAGUAGAGCAGCCUACCCUGUCCUAAUGGUUAACUUAGUGGUUAAAGUAGAGCAGCCUACCCUGUCCUAGUGGUUAACUUAGUGGUUAAAGUAGAGCAGCCUACCCUGUCCUAAUGGUUAACUUAGUGGUUAAAGUAGAGCCGUCUACCCUGUCCUAUUUAAGGUAUUGGUCAGCUGAUUGGUUAGGUGACCCACCUUAUUGCUCAGUGGGCCCCAGAGAAAAAGCCCUCUAGAGGUUCUCCCCUGUAACUGAGAGCUAAAUCUAUGCUUCUGAUGUAACUCUUCUUACUCAACCCUCUGGCUAUGUUGUAUUCAUGCUGUAUGUGGAGGCUAGCGGCUUGUAGCUGAAGUUAUAGGACAAAAACAAAGUUUAGUGUUCAUUGGUUUUUUAUGAGGGAAAUGUGAUGAGUACGUUCUAAACAAAAUUAAAUGUUCUGAAGAUUGGCUCCAAGGUUCCAGAGAGCCAACAUUUGGAAUUUAUGCACUUUGAUGAAAACUGAUAUUUGAAUUCAUUGUAUUUUUAUGUUUUGUAAUGGAGUAAUUAUCUCACCUGUAGUCAAAGUGAGCUUUCACAUGCCUACAGUAACCUACCUAUACAGUACCCUGACUUCAACAGUCUUUAGGUGUUAAAAGGAAUCACAAGUUUCAGUGGGAAUAAUAACUCAGGUAUAUUGGUCUAUAGGAAGGUUAUAGGUCAGGGCCCAGAUUCACACAACCUUCUUAAGAAGAUAUUUCUUCUUAACUGCCAUUUAUUCCUUAACUAUAGACUACAGAUGAAAGUUCAGCCAAGUUGGUAUUCCUCAAAAAGCUUCUUGGACAUGUUCUUGUGUUAUUUCAUGUUUCUCUUCAAGUAAAAAUAUAAGAAGAAAUUAGAUUUUUGAAAAUAUAGUUUGUUCUUGGACAUUUUCUUAAUUCCAAGAUGGCUAAACCCUCGUCUUAAACUCAGGGCAGUGAGAUAAUAAGCUCAUUAAAUCAAUUGAACAUAUUUAAUUCACUCAAACUUCAUCUGAAAGUUUCAGUAUUGAUUAUUUGAAACCCCAAAACAUGUUUUAGAACAGUCAUCUCAGUAUGAAAUAUGCUAACAUGAUUGUCAUUGCUAGCUAGAUACUAAAGCUAGCUAAAACAGUUUGCCUAGUGACAAUCUUUGACAAAGUUUGUGACAAAGUUUGUAAGAAAAUUAUAAAAUCUUAACAUAUUGUUGAAGAAUUGCACUUGUGAACUAUCUUAUGAACUUAUAAUUUUUUUCUUAAGAAGGUUCUUAAGUUUUUGCAUAAGAAUGUAAUGUAAAUCUGGGCCCAGGUUUCCACACCUGUAACAGUGGGUUACACCCUGUCAAACACUACUGAUGGUUCAGUAGUGGUUAGUCUGCCAAUCCUAAUCAGAAGCUGAUAGCCCAUAGUUUUUCCCCCAUACAAUCUUAUGACAACUACAUUUAUAUGUUUGGGAAAGUAUUGUUUUAAAUUGGAGGUAGUUUAUGGCAUGAACAUGGUGGUAAACUAAAGACUCUUUUCACCUCUACAACCAAGUUAUUCCAUCUGUAACGUAACUAUAUUAAUACAAUUGAUUAAUAUAUUGCCUCAAAAAAGGAUUUCCGAUGUGGAAUCCAAUAAGCUGAAAUAAGGAAUUUGGUGAAGUGAACUUAGUGCCAAAAUGUUUUUGAGGAUGAUUAAUUGAAUCGCAUUUGCACAAAACUACUGUAACUUUAGUUUUUUCCUGUGACUGAUGCUUUUAUAAUCUUAUUGUGUUAUUUAUUGCACCAAGUAAUCCAUUAAAAUAUUGAUAUGGUUAAA
ensembl:lncRNA